rnacentral:rRNA from 1 species
GAUGAACGCUGGCGGCGUGCUUAACACAUGCAAGUCGAACGGAGAGGCCCAAGCUUGCUUGGGUACUCGAGUGGCGAACGGGUGAGUAACACGUGGGUGAUCUGCCCUGCACUUCGGGAUAAGCCUGGGAAACUGGGUCUAAUACCGGAUAGGACCACUUCUUGGAUGUUGUGGUGGAGAGUUUUUUCGGUGUGGGAUGAGCUCGCGGCCUAUCAGCUUGUUGGUGGGGUAAUGGCCUACCAAGGCGUCGACGGGUAGCCGGCCUGAGAGGGUGUACGGCCACAUUGGGACUGAGAUACGGCCCAGACUCCUACGGGAGGCAGCAGUGGGGAAUAUUGCACAAUGGGCGCAAGCCUGAUGCAGCGACGCCGCGUGGGGGAUGACGGCCUUCGGGUUGUAAACUCCUUUCGCUAGGGACGAAGCGUUUUGUGACGGUACCUGGAGAAGAAGCACCGGCUAACUACGUG